rnacentral:ncRNA from 1 species
AUUUAAUCACCACCGGGCGAUAGCACUUAGUGAACUCUUUAGGUCUUAGUAGAGUUUGCUAGGUGCUCUUUUUUUAG